rnacentral:rRNA from 1 species
AGUCGAGCGGAGAUGAGGUGCUUGCACCUUAUCUUAGCGGCGGACGGGUGAGUAAUGCUUAGGAAUCUGCCUAUUAGUGGGGGACAACAUUCCGAAAGGAAUGCUAAUACCGCAUACGCCCUACGGGGGAAAGCAGGGGAUCUUCGGACCUUGCGCUAAUAGAUGAGCCUAAGUCGGAUUAGCUAGUUGGUGGGGUAAAGGCCUACCAAGGCGACGAUCUGUAGCGGGUCUGAGAGGAUGAUCCGCCACACUGGGACUGAGACACGGCCCAGACUCCUACGGGAGGCAGCAGUGGGGAAUAUUGGACAAUGGGCGGAAGCCUGAUCCAGCCAUGCCGCGUGUGUGAAGAAGGCCUUUUGGUUGUAAAGCACUUUAAGCGAGGAGGAGGCUACUUAGAUUAAUACUCUAGGAUAGUGGACGUUACUCGCAGAAUAAGCACCGGCUAACUCUGUGCCAGCAGCCGCGGUAAUACAGAGGGUGCGAGCGUUAAUCGGAUUUACUGGGCGUAAAGCGUGCGUAGGCGGCUGAUUAAGUCGGAUGUGAAAUCCCUGAGCUUAACUUAGGAAUUGCAUUCGAUACUGGUCAGCUAGAGUAUGGGAGAGGAUGGUAGAAUUCCAGGUGUAGCGGUGAAAUGCGUAGAGAUCUGGAGGAAUACCGAUGGCGAAGGCAGCCAUCUGGCCUAAUACUGACGCUGAGUACGAAGCAUGGGGAGCAAACAGGAUUAGAUACCCUGUAGUCCAUGCCGUAACGAUGUCUACUAGCCGUUGGGGC